rnacentral:lncRNA from 1 species
GAUAUCCAUCGGAAUCACUAUCGAUCAAACAUUGUCGGGGAUGAGGUACCAUCACCUCCCAUCUCACGGGCACUAUCUCUCCUCCCAUCCCCACUUUGUACAGCCACCAUUGACUUUGAUAUGGAUGGAGAUCAUCAUAUUUCAAUCAAUAAGACACUCUUCUAUUUGUCGAUCUAAUUUUCAACCAUGUUCCUUCUUUUUUCUGGCCAUCCUCACUGCCGGCACAUGUCACUGGUUCUCUAUUUCCAACUGUUGGUCAUCGGCUACCUACCAUCAGCCACAAUCUCUCCUGAACUUCUUCCUCUAUUUUGAGAAAGAACAAGAAAAAAAUCCUUUGUUUUGCCAAAUGAAGGAAGAAGAAAAGAGAUAAAUGAAAAAAGAAAAAGAAAAAAGAAAAAAGAAGAAAGAAACAAGAAGAAAAGGAAAACAAAAAAAAGGGCAAAAGAGAGAGUCCUCUUCUC